rnacentral:rRNA from 1 species
GAUGAACGCUGGCGGCGUGCCUAAUACAUGCAAGUCGAGCGAACAGACGAGGAGCUUGCUCCUUUGAUGUUAGCGGCGGACGGGUGAGUAACACGUAGGUAACCUACCUAUAAGACUGGGAUAACUUCGGGAAACCGGAGCUAAUACCGGAUAAUAUUUCGAACCGCAUGGUUCGAUAGUGAAAGAUGGCUUUGCUAUCACUUAUAGAUGGACCUGCGCCGUAUUAGCUAGUUGGUAAGGUAACGGCUUACCAAGGCAACGAUACGUAGCCGACCUGAGAGGGUGAUCGGCCACACUGGAACUGAGACACGGUCCAGACUCCUACGAGAGGCAGCAGUAGGGAAUCUUCCGCAAUGGGCGAAAGCCUGACGGAGCAACGCCGCGUGAGUGAUGAAGGUCUUCGGAUCGUAAAACUCUGUUAUUAGGGAAGAACAAACGUGUAAGUAACUGUGCACGUCUUGACGGUACCUAAUCAGAAAGCCACGGCUAACUACGUG